GCAGCCCAGCCCAACACUCCAUCUCCCGUCUCUCCCACGCCCACACGCAACCUCUCUUCUCCUCCUCUCUCGGCGGCAUCUUCCCCGAGCGCCUCACCACCGGAGCCGGGACCAGCAGAUCCUCGCCUCCUCCGCCGAUCUCGGGAGCACACGGGUGCGGAUCAAGGCGUUGGUGGACAGGUUCAUGAACGAGCUGCAGGAGGCGCUGUGGACGCGACAUCCAGGACCGCCCCAUGAAGGAGCGGGAGAUGCCGAGCUACAUCAGGAGAGCGAGCGCGAGUUCCACGAGAGGGAGGCCGCCUGGAAGGCCGAGCUCUCCUGCCGCGAGGGACUUCGUCAAUAGUCCUUGCAUUGGAUCAAACUACUGGCGGCGACAGGGAUACAAGCGCACCGACGCGAAAGCCUGGGAGAUGCGGCGCUCCCGCCGUUCAGAUCGAACCGAGAGGGACGGGGAGAACAACCACCGCCUUCUCAUGUUGCUCGUCUCCACCGCGCCUCGUCUGCACCGCGUGGUGAUGACCGGCGGCACUGCCCGCGUUGGCGGCAGUGGUCGACUCCUCGACUUCCAUAGCUUCUGGAAGUCCGGCAAUAACGAGCCCCAUCCGCAAGUUCCACGCUGAUGGUUUAAUUGUUGAAACUGGAGCUUCCCUGGGGCAUGUUUUUCACUGGCGUGAGAGGGUAGGCCGAGGAUGAGUCCCCUUUAUUUGGAGUGAUCCUCCAUAUGAAAGGAAGAGCAGGGUAGUGUGGGCGAUGGAAGUCUUUGUAUACCAGGGCAAGCUCCUCCUUCCUCAUUCUCUGAAUUUUAUCAACAUGACCACCAACUAGGUUCUUUGCACAUACUAUGUCGACCACGUGUAUGUGUCAGCUGUAGUCUCAUGUUAAAUUGCAAGUUUAUACUGUUGUCAUUACAGAGGUGUUGUUGUUGAUUUGUUUGAUCUCUUGAACAAUUGAACAGUUUACAGUCACACAUAUCCAGUUGGAAUGCUAUGGCAGUAUUAUUAGCCAGGGAUGAGGCCUUUUGUCUUCUUAAAAAAUGUAGUUGUUUGGAAUUUUGGGAUAAUAUGGAUGGUGCUCUGAUUAAGCUAAAUUAAUGCAUUGCUAAUAUUGGUGCUAGCUAAACAUCCAUGUUGAUUCUCCGGUGUAUGUCCCUGGAGCAGUUUCGACUUGUCAUUUUAGGUGUGUAAGUUCCUGUCUAAUUAGCUAGCUUAGUCAGAUUCCUUUUUGUGAUUGAUGGGGCAGUGGAUGCAAACAUAUCUAUCAAUACCAGCUAGCUGCUUGAGUGAACUUUUAGUUAGAACUGCAGCUACUUGGUGUGUCUCUGACAUAACUUGAUAUGUGCUUUUCUUUGUGUAUAUACGAAUAUGUUUUUCUCUUGGUCAUGGACCAUAUAAGUCACAAGCAAUUUCCGGGCACCACAAGCAAUUGAAUGCCUCAGCUCACCUGUACGUAUGCACUGCUCUGACUGGUCUGUCCUCUGUUUAGAACCAAGCUUAAUUAGCAUAUACAUCCCUUUUGAUUAGCAGCUAACCUCGCUUUAUCCUCGAAAAGCUUGGGGGCUUUUCUGAUUUGAUGGAGUGGUUUGAGUACUUAAACCUGUUUUCUGGCAAUAUAUUUCUUUUUCUCAUGAACAGUUUGAGCAGUUUUCCUUUAUCUUUCAAUUGAAGCAAAAGGCUGGGGUCGCGUCAAUAAAUGAUAUUUUUUCCUUAAGAUGAUAAUAUGCUGCCACCGAAAAAUAUGAUAAUAUUUUGAUAGACAGUUUAUGUCGUCAGUGCCAAUCCAUUUCCAUGUGCACAUAUUCAUACCAUCCUCGGAAUGACCUCCUCAAAAACUUCCAAGUGUAAUUAUCUGUUCGUGCAUACGUGUACGCAGGACUUGGAUCUCGCUUUCUGGCCAGGUGAGAAUGUGAGAUUUUGACCAUGCAUGCGUUCAUGGCAGAUGACAAAUGGACUAUGGAUAAUUUGCUGAACACCAAGUCCGUAGUGGCUUUCAUUUCAAACGACUUGGUACUGAUACUCUAGAAUACACAUCAAAUGGGCGCUACAUGAUAGUAGGUGGACGAAAAGUGCAUAUUGCAAUGGUGGAUAUGUGGAGUAUGGAACUCAUCAAGGAAUUUCAGGUCAACUUUUCGUAUUAAGCAAUUUGUCAGUAUGAGGAACGGAGGGAUGUGAUUUGGAAAGAUUGACAUUUCCUGUUUUGAGGAAUGGGAAACACUGAAUUACACACUUUAGAUCUUGCUUGGAACUUUGUGAAAAGUGGCAUUAUGAACUUGAGUGAGAUCUAUAUUGAGCAUAAGUGGGAAAAUAUUCCAUCGGUUGUUACAACAUUACUACUUGGUGGUGCGCUUGGUCCUUUUGAAACUCUACAACUUGUUUUCUGUACAGAACCUAGACUUCAUAGGUGUGAAAGUGGUUUGUGUUCAAAAUAAAAAUGACAUCCAGUGUACGAGCAAGGUUGAUUGAUGAUUUGGCAGAUAUCGAAUAUCUUCUUGAUUAAAUUGUGAUGGUAGUGGGAAGAUAAUUGCUGAAAAUACACAAGUUGUUCUUGUUCAGGCAAAGUCCAAGUUGAACGAAGUAUAAAUAAGUAGACAUAUAUACCGGGAGGUAUUGAGGAUGGUUCAGCCAUUCGACUUAUCGGAGGAGUUAGUGUUGAUAAGCAAAGGCAAGCACUGGGCAAUAAAUACAAAGUUAUGUAAAUUCAUGAACCCCUUAUGUAGUUUUCCGCAUGUUUAGUUUAAACAAGUAACUUCAUCAGAGCUAUACCUAGGUUGUCGUACUGAGAUAUCUGUCAAUUGACAAGGUGCUUAUCAAUUUGUAUGCUUGAAGUAGAGUAAUACAGUCUGGAUGAAACAUUACUCGCAUUUCAGUUUAGUUUAUUAGGAUCCACUUACUAGGAGAAGAUAUUAUUGUUAUUGUUAGUUGUUACCCAUUUCUAUCUUAGCAUGCAGGGUGUAAGUGGUGACUUGUAUAUAUUCGUCCAUGUUGAAGCAGAACAAGGCAUCCCUUGUAUAUAUUCGUUCAUGUUGAAGCAGAACAAGGCAUCCACAGAGAAGGCCUCAAUUUGUAUUCUGAUACAAUGAUUGACUACACUGAUGCAGUUUUAGGAACAACGGUGAAGGUUGAGGCAAUGGAGGGAUUGAAUGAUCUUUAUUAUUAUUUUGCAUAUAACCUUACAUGUUGAGGUGUUUCCUUUGUGUCCUUCGCUAGCUCGUGCAUGUAUGUUAGUGAUGGACAACCACAAAGACUAAAUGCUAAUAGGGUUCUUUUUAUUACUCUGAUCUUGUGUUUAAAAAUGGUUUGUGUAAGCCACACUUUGAAUAUUCAAGAUAUUCAUGAUGCUAUUAUUUUUUCA